CACAAAAACACCAUUCAAAUGAUACUUAAAUACCAUGUUCAUUGACCCAAAUGACAUAUGACCUUGAUCACGUGACCUAAGGCUUGUGCAAGAUGAUCUGUGAUAAUUGUUGACCUAUAUCCAAACAAUUUCAAAGUCAUGAUGACAAUUCAACAAACACCCCCAACAUGGCCAAAGCUCAUUGACCUUAAAUGACCAUAUUCAUGUGACCUAAAACCCAUGCAAGAUGUUCACUGAUACUAGAUUAUCCCUCUGUCCAAGUUUCAUGAACUAGGUCCAUAUAUUUUCUAAGUUAUGAUGACAUUUCAAAAACUUAAUUUAAGAUUUUUAUGUUGAUUCCCCGAACAUGAUCUAAGUUCAUUGACCCUAAAUGACCUUUGACCUUGGCCAUAGUUAAUUGAUACUUGAUUACCUGUAUGUCCAAGUUUCAUGAACUAUGUCCACAUACUUUCUGAGUUAUGAUGAUGACAUUUCAAAAACUUAGCCUUUGGUUAAGACGUCAAUGUUGACGAUGCCACCGCCGCUCUGCUAUGCAGGUAAGACAGAAAUGACCAACUUGAACUAGAUCCACUGAAACUUCCUCUAAUGCCACCCCAAUGAGGCCAACACUCUCACAAGACAUCAGCACUUGUGAGUCCAAGAAGUGAGUGACUUGUCUGAGGUUUUGAAGAACUCUGGAUACCAUGAGUAAGCUUAAAAGAACACCAUUCCUUGUGAUCAGACAGUACUUGAAGAUUAUCGCAACAUUAGCAGUUUUCAAACACCAAAUAUAAAGACAUCAAAGGCAACUGAAACAAAUUUCUGGAAUUCAGCAGUGAUCUCUUCAAACAUACGUCACCAGUUGCUCUCUCUUCUCUUUGUGUAGAACAAAUGUAUACCUGCGUCGAUUUGGAGUGCAAACCAGUUUAAGUUCGAUCUUGAUCAAUGCCACCAAGUUCCAAAGCCACAUUGACUGAACUGCACCAUCAAUAUAUCAUUAUAAAGGAUAACCUGAAACACUACACUGACAAGGCUCUAGAAAUCAAAAUUUGACAUUGCACUUCUAAAGCAAGAUUCCAGACUUACAUAUAUUGCUCUGAUUGAAGGAGCAUUUUUUUUUACAAAUUGUGAAAACCAAUGAAGUGCACAACCCUCAAAAAAUUAUAUCCGAAGUUGAAGAUUUGGGCAGACAAACCUAUAUUGAGAAUCUACCUUGAUCAUCACAUAUCUUAACAUUCGUGCAGUCCACAUAUCUCUUCGCAUUCUGUGAAAACAUGAUGGAUACAGUACUCGCACAAACAUUAUGUUUAUGUAGGUACAUGGUGAAAUGACAGCGAUAAAGUUUGAAAUAUUAAUUUAUAUUGGUCUGACCAAAAAAUAUCACGUACAGAAAAGGAAUAUAUAUAAUGCAAAAUAAUUUAUAUUGCUAUAUCAUUGCUCUCCAAUUAAAAAAAAUUUAACAAGAUCAAAGUCUUUGAAUAUAUCAAAUCUGUUUAUCUUAUUAAAUCAGGCAUGGUAAUGAUGUUGCAACAAUGUGAAACAAGGAUAAAGUAACAGCAACAGCUAGAAUGAAAAGUACUUGGAGGUAUAUAAAGAAAGACUAUAAUCAAUGGACUGACACACAGCCAACAAAAGGAUACAGAAAUGGGAAGAAAUACCAGUAAAGGUAAAGAAAAGGGAUUACAGUCAUUAAAAGAAA
rnacentral:lncRNA from 1 species